GUGAGGCAGCAAGAGAUUGGGGGUGCUGGGGUGGCCUAGAUAACUCAGAGUCCUAGAGUCCUCUCCACUCUCUUCUGUCCCAG
ensembl:miRNA Mir6974 microRNA 6974